AAGGAGGAACUGACUCGCUCUCCCACCAAAGAGAUCAGCAUCCUGAGAAGAAGCAUGUCUAACACUGCCUUCCCUGACCCCGCCUGGAGCACCACCCUGCUCUCUUGGGUUGCUUUCUUUCUCCUGGGAACAAGUUCAGCAAAUUCUGGGGUUGUCCAGUUUCCAAGAUACAUAAUCAAAGAAAAGGGAGAAAGGUCCAUUUUAAAAUGUAUUCCCAUCCCUGGACAUCUAUCUGUGGCCUGGUAUCAACAGACUCUGGGGCAGGAACUAACGUUCUUCAUUCAGCAUUAUGAUAAAAUAGAGAGAGAUAAAGGAAACCUGCCCAGCAGAUUCUCAGUCCAACAGUUUGAUGACUAUCACUCUGAGAUGAACAUGAGUGCCUUGAAGCUAGAGGACUCUGCGGUGUACUUCUGUGCCAGCUCUCUCCACAGCCUUACAGAGCUACUGGCUUUCUGUAACUUAAUCUUUCUGUUCCAGCUGGUGAUGUACUGGAGAGGGGUUGGGUGA